rnacentral:rRNA from 1 species
UACGGAGGGUGCGAGCGUUGUCCGGAAUCACUGGGCGUAAAGGGCGCGUAGGCGGCCCGUCAAGCGUGUGGUGAAAGCCCGGGGCUCAACCCCGGGUCGGCCGUGCGGACUGGCGGGCUCGAGCACUGUAGGGGCGGGUGGAAUUCCCGGUGUAGCGGUGAAAUGCGUAGAGAUCGGGAAGAACAUCGGUGGCGAAAGCGCUCUACUGGACCGCAACUGACACUCAGGGACGAAAGCUAGGGGAGCGAAUGGG